rnacentral:lncRNA from 1 species
UUGAAUCUUGGAUAGGUUGAAUUCCAUCAGGUUCUACAAUCAUGAAUCAGCUUUCUUGCAAAUAAUUGUAAUUAUUGUAUAAUCUCAGCAAACAACAUAAGCCUCUUCUCUAUUUGAUUAAGAUAAUCCACAUUUUUACAUAUAUUCUUAAUAAUGUCACCAAUUUUAUCAAGACCAUCUUGAACCAUCAGGUUCAAGAUAU